GGAUCUGAGGGCGAUCUGGCUGCGACAUCUGUUGCCCCAUUGAUCGCCAGGGUUGAUUCGGCUGAUCUGGCUGGCUAGGCGGGUGUCCCCUUCCUCCCUCACUGCUCCAUGUGCGUCCCUCCCAAAGCUGCGCGCUCAGUCGAAGAGGACAACCAUCCCCGCUAGAGGAGGACCGGUCUUCGGUCAAGGGUAUAGGAGUAGCUGCGCUUCCCUGCUAGAACCUCCAAACAAGCUCUCAAGGUCCAAAAUUGCGGUAACAGUCAGAUCUGGGUCAGGCUCAAGCCAGGGGUAAAGAACUCCACCCUGGUCUC
ensembl:misc_RNA 7SK 7SK RNA